rnacentral:rRNA from 1 species
GUAUGCUAGGAUGUGAUAGGGAAGCCCUUCGGGGCGAAGUAGCUGAUUUCACACUGUCAAGAAAAGCUUCUAUCGAGUUUAAAGGCGCCCGUACCGUAAACCGACACAGGUGGGUGAGGAGAGUAUCCUAAGGCCAGCGAGAGAACUAUUGUUAAGGAACUCGGCAAAAUGACCCCGUAACUUAGGGAGAAGGGGUGCCUGUCUAUGACAGGCCGCAGAGAAUAGGCCCAAGCGACUGUUUACCAAAAACACAGGUUUCUGCUAAGUCGCAAGACGAUGUAUAGGAGCUGACGCCUGCCCGGUGCUGGAAGGUUAAGGGGAUCUGUUAGAGCAAUCGAAGCAGUGAACUUAAGCCCCAGUAAACGGCGGCCGUAACAAUAACGGUCCUAAGGUAGCGAAAUUCCUUGUCGGGUAAGUUCCGACCCGCACGAAAGGCGUAACGAUUUGGGCACUGUCUCAACAAUAGACUCGGUGAAAUUGUAAUCCCGGUGAAGAUGCCGGGUACCUGCGACAGGACGGAAAGACCCCAUGGAGCUUUACCGUAGCUUGACGUUGGGUCUUGGUACUACAUGUACAGGAUAGGUGGGAGACUAUGAAGCAUGGACGCCAGUCUGUGUGGAGUCAUCCUUGGGAUACCACCCUUGUAGUACUGGGAUCCUAACCAUAGGCCUUGAAUCAGGUCUUGGAACACCGUCAGGUGGGCAGUUUGACUGGGGCGGUCGCCUCCUAAAAAGUAACGGAGGCGCUCAAAGGUUUCCUCAGCACGGUCGGAAAUCGUGCGAAGAGUGUAAAGGCAAAAGGAAGCUUGAUUGCAAGACAUACAGGUCGAGCAAGGACGAAAGUCGGACUUAGUGAUCCGGUGGUACCGCAUGGAAGGGCCAUCGCUCAACGGAUAAAAGCUACCCUGGAUAACAGGCUUAUCUCCCCCAAGAGUCCACAUCGACGGGGAGGUUUGGCGCCUCGAUGUCGGCUCAUCACAUCCUGGGGCUGUAGUAGGUCCCAAGGGUUGGGCUGUUCGCCCAUUAAAGUGGUACGCGAGCUGGGUUCAGAACGUCGUGAGACAGUUCGGUCCCUAUCCGUCGCAGGCGUAGGAAAUUUGAGAAGACCUGUCCUUAGUACGAGAGGACCGGGAUGGACGUACCUCUGGUGUACCAGUUGUUCUGCCAAGGGCAUGGCUGGGUAGCUAUGUACGGAAUGGAUAAGCGCUGAAAGCAUCUAAGCGCGAAGCCAACUUCAAGAUAAGAUUUCCCACCGUAAGGGUAAGACCCCAGGAAGACUACCUGGUUGAUAGGUCGAAGGUGUAAGUGCAGUAAUGUAUUUAGCUUAUCGAUACUAAUAGGUCGAGGACUUG